UUCAGGUGUGAGAAGCUCCUCUUCCCUUGACAAACUUAAUAUUUAACGGUUUCAGUGUGUCAUGUAGUGUAUGAACAAGAGCUAAUAGGUCUAUUUAUGAUUAAGAGUAAUUAUAGUUGAAUUAUUUACAUGUAUGGACAUACUUGUCAUUGGAAGUACCUGCUUGAACGUGUGUCGCUGAGGCUGAUGUGAACAGAGCUUCUCAGGCUCUUCGCUCUCCAUCCCAGCUGACUGGAGAACUGCAGUUUUCCUCUGCUCACGGCCUCUCCUGUCACCUCUGGCUCUUCAGAGCUGCUGUCGGGCGGCAUCGAUGUUUUCCCUGAGCUGCUUGGUUCUGCUGCUGAGAACGGGGACAUUUUGUCCCUGAUGGGAGUUUUCUCCUGGAAGUGUCAUUUGGGGUACCGCCUUUCCCACUGACCGGAACCAGUCAGCAGCCUGGGGAUUGUGGUCCACUAACUUAGACGGUCCUGAUCAAACACACCUGACCCAGUCCCAUCAGCCAGAAACGAAGCGGCUCUCAAACCAUCAGGACAAAAUACUUCCAGUCGCAAGAAAAUCCCUGACAGCGAACGAGGAAACUAGAUAAAAUCUGUCAGUUUUUUUUUUUUUUUACUUUCCUCUCAGCCCCGUUCCAUUUGUUUCCUCUCACCUGCACCUGCUUCCUCUCAGGUCGUCUCCUUCCUUCUGCCUCUCUUCAUAUCUUUUCCUGUCUUCCCUUUCUGCCAAGCCACGGGUGUCUCACAGCUUCAUGCGCCCACAUAUUGCACACAUCUUUCCACUUUACUUCCCCAAUAGUCUCGAUGGCGUUCACUUCAGCGAGAUCAGGAAGGCAUGAAGUUCUGGCUGAAGCAGCUGUGAUGUGUUGUCCCAUGGCAAGCGGAGCAGAAACGCACAGAUGGUUCUGAGCAGAAGACGCAGGCUCAUUUUUUCCUGAUGCUCUGAAGCUUACCUGCUCUUCCUGACAGCAGUCUGAAGGAAUCAGGAUGCCUCUGAUGAAGCGUUUGUUGGCUUGUCAAACGGUGUGUGCAUCUGACACAGCAUGGACAUUUUUAAAGCCUACAAAUUGCGAGUCACACCUGCUUCACAAACAGAGGUUGGUGGAGUGUGGAGACGGUUAAAAACUCUCUCCUGUGUUUGACUUUUGGACUUAAUCUCCAGCAAACUCGACCAUGGAAUUGGUUUGUUCUGACAUAUGCAGGAUGUGUUUUUCCUUGACUGUAAUGCAUUCUGGCCUGUUUAGAGGCAUAAAAGUACUGAAAUCAGCCAGUUAACUAUACUGCUCAGAAGAAUAAACGAAACACUAUAAAAACACAUCGUAUACCCAAAUGAAUUAAAUAUUUUUUUAACCCUUGUGCUAUCUUAUGGGGUCUAUAUGACACAAGCUGAGCUGACAACAAAAACACACAAAAACUAUAAUCAUACUCAAAAUGAAAAUGAAAAAACACACUACAGGCUGAUCCAAUUUCAGUGUGAAACUAGUCAAAAUAAGGCUCAGUAGUGGAAAUGACUCCCCUGCCAUGUCUGGCUAUUCAUCUGAUGAGGUGGUGGAUGAUCUCCUGGGGAAUCUUCUCCCACACCUGGAUCAAAGCAUCUGCCAACUCCUGGACCGUCUUUGGCACAACCUUGCAUUGGUGGCUGGACCCAGACGUGAUGUCCCAGAUGUGCUCAGUUCUGACAGGCAGGUCAAUCCUUAGUCUAGCAGAAACUACUGACACACUCCAGCCACAGGAGGUCUAGUAUUGUCUUGGAUUAGGAGGAACUGAGGGCUGAUCACACCAGCAGACAGUCUCGCAAGGUAUCUGAGAAUCUCAUCUCUCUAUCUAAUGGCAGUCAGAGAUACCACCCCAAACUAUUACUGACCCAAUGCCAAACCAGUCAUGUAGAUGAUGUUGCAGGCAGCAGAACGUUCUCCAUGACUCUGUCACAUGAGUGAUCCUGCUUUCCUCUGCGAUGAGCACAGGGCGCCAGUUGUGAAAAAGCCAAUCUUGGUGUUCUCUAGAAAAUGCCAAACAUCUUGAUCAGUGUUUGGCUAUAAGCACAAGUCCCACCUGUGGAUGUCAGGCCCUCAUACCACCCACAUACCACUCUCAUACCAGCCUCAUGGAGUCUGUUUCUAACAGUCUGAGCAGACACAAACACAUUUAUGGCCUGCUCAGUACUUCUUCUGUUUCUCC